UAAUACGAAGGGACCUAGCGUAGUUCGGAAUUACUGGGCUUAAAGAGUUCGUAGGUGGUUGAAAAAGUUGGUGGUGAAAUCCCAGAGCUUAACUCUGGAACUGCCAUCAAAACUUUUCAGCUAGAGUUUGAUAGAGGAAAGCAGAAUUUCUAGUGUAGAGGUGAAAUUCGUAGAUAUUAGAAAGAAUACCAAUUGCGAAGGCAGCUUUCUGGAUCAUUACUGACACUGAGGAACGAAAGCAUGGGUAGCGAAGAGGAUUAGAUACCCUCGUAGUCCAUGCCGUAAACGAUGUGUGUUAGAUGUUGGAAAUUUAUUUUCAGUAUCGCAGCGAAAGCGAUAAACACACCGCCUGGGGAGUACGACCGCAAGGUUAAAACUCAAAUGAAUUGACGGGGACCCGCACAAGUAGUGGAGCAUGUGGUUUAAUUCGAAGAUACGCGCAGAACCUUACCAACACUUGACAUGUUCGUCGCGACUUUAAGAGAUUAAAGUUUUCGGUUCGGCCGGACGAAACACAGGUGCUGCAUGGCUGUCGUCAGCUCGUGUCGUGAGAUGUUGGGUUAAGUCCCGCAACGAGCGCAACCCUCACUUUUAGUUGCCAUCAUUAAGUUGGGCACUCUGAAAGAACUGCCAGUGAUAAGCUGGAGGAAGGUGGGGAUGACGUCAAGUCCUCAUGGCCCUUACGUGUUGGGCUACACACGUGCUACAAUGGUAUCUACAACAGGAAGCAAAACGGCGACGUUAGCAAAUCCUUAAAAGAUACCUCAGUUCGGAUUGCACUCUGCAACUCGAGUGCAUGAAGCUGGAAUUACUAGUAAUCGUGGAUCAGCGUGCCACGGUGAAUGCGUUCCGGGUCUGUACACACCCGCCCGUCACACCAUGGGAGUGGUUCUACUUAGGCAAGUUCCAAUCUGACCACGUAUAGUCAGCGUACUGGGGGUGGAGUCGUA
rnacentral:rRNA from 1 species